UUAAGCGACUAAGCGUACACGGUGGAUGCCCUGGCAGUCAGAGGCGAUGAAGGACGUGCUAAUCUGCGAUAAGCGUCGGUAAGGUGAUAUGAACCGUUAUAACCGGCGAUUUCCGAAUGGGGAAACCCAGUGUGAUUCGUCACACUAUCAUUAACUGAAUCCAUAGGUUAAUGAGGCGAACCGGGGGAACUGAAACAUCUAAGUACCCCGAGGAAAAGAAAUCAACCGAGAUUCCCCCAGUAGCGGCGAGCGAACGGGGAGCAGCCCAGAGCCUGAAUCAGUAUGUGUGUUAGUGGAAGCGUCUGGAAAGGCGCGCGAUACAGGGUGACAGCCCCGUACACAAAAAUGCACAUGCUGUGAGCUCGAUGAGUAGGGCGGGACACGUGGUAUCCUGUCUGAAUAUGGGGGGACCAUCCUCCAAGGCUAAAUACUCCUGACUGACCGAUAGUGAACCAGUACCGUGAGGGAAAGGCGAAAAGAACCCCGGCGAGGGGAGUGAAAAAGAACCUGAAACCGUGUACGUACAAGCAGUGGGAGCACGCUUAGGCGUGUGACUGCGUACCUUUUGUAUAAUGGGUCAGCGACUUAUAUUCUGUAGCAAGGUUAACCGAAUAGGGGAGCCGAAGGGAAACCGAGUCUUAACUGGGCGUUAAGUUGCAGGGUAUAGACCCGAAACCCGGUGAUCUAGCCAUGGGCAGGUUGAAGGUUGGGUAACACUAACUGGAGGACCGAACCGACUAAUGUUGAAAAAUUAGCGGAUGACUUGUGGCUGGGGGUGAAAGGCCAAUCAAACCGGGAGAUAGCUGGUUCUCCCCGAAAGCUAUUUAGGUAGCGCCUCGUGAAUUCAUCUCCGGGGGUAGAGCACUGUUUCGGCAAGGGGGUCAUCCCGACUUACCAACCCGAUGCAAACUGCGAAUACCGGAGAAUGUUAUCACGGGAGACACACGGCGGGUGCUAACGUCCGUCGUGAAGAGGGAAACAACCCAGACCGCCAGCUAAGGUCCCAAAGUCAUGGUUAAGUGGGAAACGAUGUGGGAAGGCCCAGACAGCCAGGAUGUUGGCUUAGAAGCAGCCAUCAUUUAAAGAAAGCGUAAUAGCUCACUGGUCGAGUCGGCCUGCGCGGAAGAUGUAACGGGGCUAAACCAUGCACCGAAGCUGCGGCAGCGACGCUUAUGCGUUGUUGGGUAGGGGAGCGUUCUGUAAGCCUGUGAAGGUGUACUGUGAGGUAUGCUGGAGGUAUCAGAAGUGCGAAUGCUGACAUAAGUAACGAUAAAGCGGGUGAAAAGCCCGCUCGCCGGAAGACCAAGGGUUCCUGUCCAACGUUAAUCGGGGCAGGGUGAGUCGACCCCUAAGGCGAGGCCGAAAGGCGUAGUCGAUGGGAAACAGGUUAAUAUUCCUGUACUUGGUGUUACUGCGAAGGGGGGACGGAGAAGGCUAUGUUGGCCGGGCGACGGUUGUCCCGGUUUAAGCGUGUAGGCUGGUUUUCCAGGCAAAUCCGGAAAAUCAAGGCUGAGGCGUGAUGACGAGGCACUACGGUGCUGAAGCAACAAAUGCCCUGCUUCCAGGAAAAGCCUCUAAGCAUCAGGUAACAUCAAAUCGUACCCCAAACCGACACAGGUGGUCAGGUAGAGAAUACCAAGGCGCUUGAGAGAACUCGGGUGAAGGAACUAGGCAAAAUGGUGCCGUAACUUCGGGAGAAGGCACGCUGAUAUGUAGGUGAAGUCCCUCGCGGAUGGAGCUGAAAUCAGUCGAAGAUACCAGCUGGCUGCAACUGUUUAUUAAAAACACAGCACUGUGCAAACACGAAAGUGGACGUAUACGGUGUGACGCCUGCCCGGUGCCGGAAGGUUAAUUGAUGGGGUUAGCGCAAGCGAAGCUCUUGAUCGAAGCCCCGGUAAACGGCGGCCGUAACUAUAACGGUCCUAAGGUAGCGAAAUUCCUUGUCGGGUAAGUUCCGACCUGCACGAAUGGCGUAAUGAUGGCCAGGCUGUCUCCACCCGAGACUCAGUGAAAUUGAACUCGCUGUGAAGAUGCAGUGUACCCGCGGCAAGACGGAAAGACCCCGUGAACCUUUACUAUAGCUUGACACUGAACAUUGAGCCUUGAUGUGUAGGAUAGGUGGGAGGCUUUGAAGUGUGGACGCCAGUCUGCAUGGAGCCGACCUUGAAAUACCACCCUUUAAUGUUUGAUGUUCUAACGUUGACCCGUAAUCCGGGUUGCGGACAGUGUCUGGUGGGUAGUUUGACUGGGGCGGUCUCCUCCUAAAGAGUAACGGAGGAGCACGAAGGUUGGCUAAUCCUGGUCGGACAUCAGGAGGUUAGUGCAAUGGCAUAAGCCAGCUUGACUGCGAGCGUGACGGCGCGAGCAGGUGCGAAAGCAGGUCAUAGUGAUCCGGUGGUUCUGAAUGGAAGGGCCAUCGCUCAACGGAUAAAAGGUACUCCGGGGAUAACAGGCUGAUACCGCCCAAGAGUUCAUAUCGACGGCGGUGUUUGGCACCUCGAUGUCGGCUCAUCACAUCCUGGGGCUGAAGUAGGUCCCAAGGGUAUGGCUGUUCGCCAUUUAAAGUGGUACGCGAGCUGGGUUUAGAACGUCGUGAGACAGUUCGGUCCCUAUCUGCCGUGGGCGCUGGAGAACUGAGGGGGGCUGCUCCUAGUACGAGAGGACCGGAGUGGACGCAUCACUGGUGUUCGGGUUGUCAUGCCAAUGGCACUGCCCGGUAGCUAAAUGCGGAAGAGAUAAGUGCUGAAAGCAUCUAAGCACGAAACUUGCCCCGAGAUGAGUUCUCCCUGACUCCUUGAGAGUCCUGAAGGAACGUUGAAGACGACGACGUUGAUAGGCCGGGUGUGUAAGCGCAGCGAUGCGUUGAGCUAACCGGUACUAAUGAACCGUGAGGCUUAACCUU
rnacentral:rRNA from 1 species